CAAGUCGAGCGCGCCCUUCGGGGUGAGCGGCGGACGGGUGAGUAACGCGUGGGAAUAUGCCCUUCUCUAAGGAAUAGCCUCUGGAAACGGAGAGUAAUACCUUAUACGCCCUUCGGGGGAAAGAUUUAUCGGAGAAGGAUUAGCCCGCGUUAGAUUAGGUAGUUGGUGGGGUAAUGGCCUACCAAGCCUACGAUCUAUAGCUGGUUUGAGAGGAUGAACAGCCACACUGGGACUGAGACACGGCCCAGACUCCUACGGGAGGCAGCAGUAGGGAAUCUUAGACAAUGGGGGCAACCCUGAUCUAGCCAUGCCGCGUGUGUGAUGAAGGCCCUAGGGUCGUAAAGCACUUUCGCCAGAGAUGAUAAUGACAGUAUCUGGUAAAGAAACCCCGGCUAACUCCGUGCCAGCAGCCGCGGUAAUACGGAGGGGGUUAGCGUUGUUCGGAAUUACUGGGCGUAAAGCGCACGUAGGCGGAUUAGUAAGUUAGAGGUGAAAUCCCAGGGCUCAACCCUGGAACUGCCUUUAAUACUGCUAGUCUUGAGUUCGAGAGAGGUAAGUGGAAUUCCGAGUGUAGAGGUGAAAUUCGUAGAUAUUCGGAGGAACACCAGUGGCGAAGGCGGCUUACUGGCUCGAUACUGACGCUGAGGUGC
rnacentral:rRNA from 1 species